AGUGAACGCUGGCGGUAGGCCUAACACAUGCAAGUCGAACGGCAGCACCGUAAGAGCUUGCUCUUACGGGUGGCGAGUGGCGGACGGGUGAGGAAUACAUCGGAAUCUACUUUUUCGUGGGGGAUAACGUAGGGAAACUUACGCUAAUACCGCAUACGACCUACGGGUGAAAGCAGGGGAUCUUCGGACCUUGCGCGAUUGAAUGAGCCGAUGUCGGAUUAGCUAGUUGGCGGGGUAAAGGCCCACCAAGGCGACGCUCCGUAGCUGGUCUGAGAGGAUGAUCAGACACACUGGAAGUGAGACACGGCCCAGACUCCGACGGGAGGCAGCAGUGGGGAAUAUUGGACAAUGGGCGCAAGCCUGAUCCAGCCAUACCGCGUGGGUGAAGAAGGCCUUCGGGUUGUAAAGCCCUUUUGUUGGGAAAGAAAAGCAGCAGGUUAAUACCCCGUUGUUCUGACGGUACCCAAAGAAUAAGCACCGGCUAACUCCGUG
rnacentral:rRNA from 1 species